AUGUGGGUGCAGAUCUGUGGGCUCCUGCCUAAUGCCAAGGAGGAGGGAGUCAUCCGUGGCAUGUCUCGUCUGCUGGGCAAGUUUGUGGCUGUCGAUGGUCCCUUCCUGGCCAAGGGCCCUGCCGUUCAGGUGCAGAUCAAGUCACUUGACCCCUCCAAGCUCAAGAUGAUGAUUCAGAUGUUCUUUAACAACGUCGGUUACGAUCACUGUAUCUCGGUUGAGGGUGGGACUCCCACUGAUCCCCUCAGCCUGGAUGUUGAGGGCAGAGCCGACCCUGAGCCGGGCCCAGGAGGGGGCGCUGCUCCUCGGGGCAGCCCUCGUCGCUCCUGCAGUCGCUUGCCCCACUCUGAGGCUUCCGACGACGACUCGACGGACGCUGGUGAUGCUUCACCCCAGCCGGCUCCUCCCACCCCUCGUCCACCCACUAUUUGGGGCUCGGCUCCCGCAACGACUGCGUCGGGGAGGAGCCUGAGGACGUCAAGGCCAUCGCAGCCUUGCUUGAUGAGGCUGCUACCCUCCCACCUGGUGCUACCCUACCCCCUACCUUCCUCCCUGCUCCGUUGUCAUCGUCUGAUGAGGAGGGGUGCGGGGACAGCUGGGUGA
rnacentral:rRNA from 1 species